AACGAGGGGUAUUCCACAAAAAAUUACCCUGAGGGAUGAAAUAUUCCGAGGGCGAAGUCCGAGGAAUAUUUCAUCCCGCAGGGUAAUUUUUUGUGGAAUACCUCGA
rnacentral:miRNA from 1 species